rnacentral:rRNA from 1 species
UACGAAGGGGGCUAGCGUUGCUCGGAAUUACUGGGCGUAAAGGGCGCGUAGGCGGGCGUUUAAGUCAGAGGUAAAAGCCCAGGGCUCAACCUUGAAACUGCCUUUGAUACUGGGCGGCUAGAGUACGGGAGAGGUGAGUGGAACUCCGAGUGUAGAGGUGAAAUUCGUAGAUAUUCGGAAGAACACCAGUGGCGAAGGCGACUCACUGGUCCGUUACUGACGCUGAGGCGCGAAAGCGUGGGGAGCAAACAGG